CUCGUAGUUGAAGUUCUGGCUGUAUUGGGCCUCUGCACUCGAUGCGGAGGAACCAGCAGUCAUCCGCUUGCAAAUACAUGUCCUUCCUUAACCGGUAGGCUGUAUAAGUAAGCACUUUACCUUGAGAAAAACAGAGUGUUCCAGGCAGGUUUGUCCGGAAUGCGUUAGCAUGGAAUAAUAGAAUAUGACUGAAGUCGAUUUAUUGGUUAAAGGCUUUAGUAAUGAUUAAUAGGAACAAUCGGGGGCAUUGGUACUUGUCAGUCAGAGGUGAAAUUCUAGGAUUUGACAAAGACUAACUGAUGCGAAAGCGUUUGCCAAGAAUGUUUUCAUUAAUCAAGAACGAAAGUUAGGGGGAUCAAAGACGAUCAGAUACCGUCCUAGUCUUAACUAUAAACUAUACCGACUCGGAUUCAGAUGAAUUUUUAAAGUUCAUUUGGGACCGUAGGAGAAAUCAAAGUCUUUGGGUUCUGGGGGGGAG
rnacentral:rRNA from 1 species